ACGCACGCUGGCGGCCUGCCUCACCCAUGCAAGUCGCACGCGACCUUCGGGUCUAGUGGCGCACGGGUGCGUAACGCGUGGGAACCUGCCCUUAGGUUCGGAAUAACUCCCCGAAAGGGGUGCUAAUACCGGAUAAUGUCUUCGGACCAAAGAUUUAUCGCCUUUGGAUGGGCCCGCGUUGGAUUAGCUAGUUGGUAGGGUAAAAGCCUACCAAGGCGACGAUCCAUAGCUGGUCUGAGAGGAUGAUCAGCCACACUGGGACUGAGACACGGCCCAGACUCCUACGGGAGGCAGCAGUGGGGAAUAUUGGACAAUGGGCGAAAGCCUGAUCCAGCAAUGCCGCGUGAGUGAUGAAGGCCUUAGGGUUGUAAAGCUCUUUUACCCGGGAUGAUAAUGACAGUACCGGGAGAAUAAGCUCCGGCUAACUCCGUG
rnacentral:rRNA from 1 species